rnacentral:snoRNA from 1 species
GAUGAGAAUGAUAAAGGUGAAAUGAUACAUUUGGUCAAAGAAAAUGUCAAUCCAUUUCUUGAUUCAUU